ACCUGGGUAGCUCAGUGGUUGAGCAUCUGCCUUUGGCUCAGGCGUGAUCCAGGAGUCAUGGGAUCACAUCCCAUAUCGGGCU
rnacentral:tRNA from 1 species